AACGCACAUUGCGCCCGUUAGUAUUCUAGCGGGCAUGCCCGUUCGAGUGUCUUGACAUCAUCACCCUCACAGGUUUUUGCGAACCUGGAAAGGGUGGACUUUGGAGGCUUUUUUGCUGCCGAACAGGCGGCUCCUCUUGAAUGCAUCGGCUUGCGCUCGUAGGCGUUUUCCUCGACGUUGUAAAUCCCCUCGUCCUGGCUAGCCUCGCGAACCGGCCUCGGCGUCUGCCUCUGGAGUGGCGGCCAACACUUUUUGACGAUCUGACCUCGAAUCGGGUAGGACUACCCGCUGAACUUAA
rnacentral:misc_RNA from 1 species